rnacentral:lncRNA from 1 species
GGUUGAUCAAGAUGAACCCUGAUCAUUGAUAAAUCCAGAAAGACACCAUUCUUUCCAGUGACCAAUCAGAAGCAAACACUAACUCUUGGUAUGUGUUUGGAGGAAAAUGCCUCUUUGCAAAUCCUGCAUUUGAAGAUCAAAGAAUAUUUUCCUCGGCUACUCUAUGGAGUCUACAAUCUACAGGGUGAUUGUGAUUGAUCAAUAGAAGGUGAUUGUAAGUCUAGACGGG